CGCAGCCUUUUCCGCGCAUUUGAUGGAUCGAUACGGACUCAAGGAGCAGAAUCUGCAGGGUGCGAAGGUACCCUAAGGAUUCAAUCCUGUAGGGGUUCACGAUUACCACCGUGACGAAAAUUCAAGAACUUCCGAAUUGGAACAUGACAGUGCGAAAACGACUAUGUUUGCGUCAUUGAGUAGGUCCCUUUAAAUUUUUAAUCAUUUGGGUAAUCUACUCGUAGACAGCUUAUCGCAAAAAUUAUAUAAUUAUAUUGUAAUAUUCCAUUCAGUAUUCUCGAUUUUAAGUGUCAAAUCGCAGUGACAAGAAAUACGUGCAAAAAAUGUUCGCAUUUUUCGAGUUAUCUGACCUUCCUUGUCUCUUUCUCUCUGAAUGCUGGAUAUAUUAAUUCGUGGCAUUUGAUUUGAUUUUCACACGAUGAUGAAACUUUGCACAGUAAUAUAACUAUCUGAUAAUAAAUUGUGAACAAAAUAAACAAACUUAAAUGAAGUA